GCCUGGGUGGCUCAGUUGGUUGAGCAUCCGACUUGGGCUCAGAUCAUGAUCUCAUGGUUCGUGGGUUCGAGCCCCACGUUGGGCU